rnacentral:rRNA from 1 species
UACGUAGGGGGGCUAGCGUUGUCCGGAAUCAUUGGGCGUAAAGCGCGUGUAGGCGGUCCGGUAAGUCCGCUGUGAAAGUCGGGGGCUCAACCCUCGAAUGCCGGUGGAUACUGUCGGGCUAGAGUGCGGAAGAGGCGAGUGGAAUUCCUGGUGUAGCGGUGAAAUGCGCAGAGUAUCAGGAGGAACACCGGUGGCGAAGGCGGGGUCUCUGGGCCGUAACUGACGCUGAGGAGCGAAAGCAUGGGGAGCGAACAGG